rnacentral:rRNA from 1 species
GUCUACGGCCAUGCUACCCUGAAUAAGCCUGAUCUCGUCUGAUCUCGGAAGCUAAGCAGGGUCAGGUUAGUGCUUGGAUAGGAGACCACCUAGGAAGACCAGGUACUGUAGGUA